CUUGCGCAAGUAAACAUACCUACAUUUUAAGUAAUCACAGGCGGCUGUCGCGAGAAUUGUUCGGUGACCGUGUGAUCUCAAGAUUCGGUAACGUUCCCUGGCCCCCUAGAUCGCCAGAUUUGUCCAUUUGUGAUUUUUUCUUGUGGGGCUAUCUCAAGAGUAAAGUGUACACGACUCGACCAAGAACUCUGGA